rnacentral:lncRNA from 1 species
GCAAUGAUCUGAUCCCAUGGUCGGUAGAGCUUGCAGGUCAAAGUUUGGGAAGAGGGUAUGCCAUUCUGGUGUUCCGAAGAAUUGGUUGAUUCUGGUAAAUGUCAGGGAAUCUUGUUCGUUGCUCCACAUAUAUCUUCUGCCCCGUAGGUCUAAUUCCAUGAGUUGAAUUAUGUCAUUGAAUCUACUCAUGAGCCCUCUAUUUAGUCUACCAUUAUUUUUGUCUUCGGCCUUGUAUAUCAGGUCGAAGUCUCCCACUAUUCUAAUGUUCAGGGACUUGGUCUUUUAGAUUCUUUAAUUCAUCUAGGAAGUUCAAUUUUUUCUGGUCGCUCUGUGGUCCGUAAACCCCCAUCACAGGUAGAAAACUCGUCUUUAGUCCCGGUUGGUA